rnacentral:rRNA from 1 species
GCUCGAGUGGCGAACGGGUGAGUAACACGUGAGUAACCUGCCCUUGACUUUGGGAUAACUUCAGGAAACUGGGGCUAAUACCGGAUAGGAGCUCCUGCUGCAUGGUGGGGGUUGGAAAGUUUCGGCGGUUGGGGAUGGACUCGCGGCUUAUCAGCUUGUUGGUGGGGUAGUGGCUUACCAAGGCUUUGACGGGUAGCCGGCCUGAGAGGGUGAUUGGCCACACUGGAACUGAGACACGGUCCAG